GACGAACGCUGGCGGCGUGCUUAACACAUGCAAGUCGAACGCUGAAGCCUGGCUUUGUGUUGGGUGGAUGAGUGGCGAACGGGUGAGUAACACGUGAGUAACCUGCCCUCUUCUUCGGGAUAACGGUCUGAAAGGGUUGCUAAUACCGGGUAUUCACUGGUCCUCGCAUGGGGGUUGGUGGAAAGGUUUUUUCUGGUGGGGGAUGGGCUCGCGGCCUAUCAGCUUGUUGGUGGGGUGAUGGCCUACCAAGGCUUUGACGGGUAGCCGGCCUGAGAGGGUGACCGGUCACAUUGGGACUGAGAUACGGCCCAGACUCCUACGGGAGGCAGCAGUGGGGAAUAUUGCACAAUGGGCGAAAGCCUGAUGCAGCGACGCCGCGUGAGGGAUGGAGGCCUUCGGGUUGUGAACCUCUUUCGCCCGUGGUCAAGCCGCAACGUGGGUUGUGGUGAGGGUAGUGGGUAAAGAAGCGCCGGCUAACUACGUGCCAGCGGCCGCGGUAAUACGUAGGGCGCGAGCGUUGUCCGGAAUUAUUGGGCGUAAAGGGCUUGUAGGCGGCUGGUCGCGUCUGCCGUGAAAUCCUCUGGCUCAACUGGGGGCGUGCGGUGGGUACGGGCUGGCUUGAGUGCGGUAGGGGAGGCUGGAACUCCUGGUGUAGCGGUGGAAUGCGCAGAUAUCAGGAAGAACACCGGUGGCGAAGGCGGGUCUCUGGGCCGUUACUGACGCUGAGGAGCGAAAGCGUGGGGAGCGAACAGG
rnacentral:rRNA from 1 species